UAGAAGAAAGUCUAGAUGAGGAUGUCAUAGGGUUUUCAGGAAGUCCAGGCCCCUGGGAAGGCUACAGAAUAUAGACAACCACAGGAAUGAUUUGUAGAAUGGAAGGAAUAACUCUCAGAAAAGCCCUCAGCCACCUUGAAAGUAAGUUACUGUAAACCGCCCAGAGAGCUUCGGCUAUGGGGCGGUAUAUAAGUACAAUAAAUAAAUAAAUGGACCUAGAAGCUGAUCUAAGGGAUGCAAAUUGCUUUCUUCCAUCAUCAAACACAAGUUGGCAUUCAUGUGGUUCCCGGGGGUCUCCCAUCCAGGCUUUGCCCAGACCUGCUUAGCUUCAGGAAAGUGGAGGUCUUGCAUGCCUUCUGACCAUACCCUGGGACAUUUGCUGCAUCACCCCUCGACUCACGUAUAUCUUUCUAUGUUGGCACACAGUAAAUGUGGGUUGUUGUUGCAAGUUGGGUACCCACUGAGCCAAUUUCACAAGUGCUGCUGCGGAACACACCAUUGAUACCCACAGUUAGAGCAUCCCAACUUCAUCCAAGGCUAACUUACAUGUUGAGAAAAACAAUGUGGUACUAUCAUCCUGAGAGGGUACCACUUCAGAAUUUAGGCAGGAAAUCACAUGUGGUGCCCAUAAAAGUCUCCCUGACUGUGGAAAGCUAAUAGGACAGAUUAGUCUUUACCUACUAGUUUUCUGAAUGCAUGGAGUUAUUUUCGUUGACGGUUUGAUGAUGUAGCCCCUUUCCUGUGUUUUGAAGUGGUACAGUCCCAGGAGAGUUAGGUUGUACCAGAUUACUUUGUUGAACACAGAGAUGGGUCUGAAUUCUCUUUCUUUUGAUAAUCUAUAUUAUCAAGCACCUGAUAUUCUGAC